UUUCUUGUCAAAUCCAAUAGUUUUUCAACAUUUUCCAGAUAAGAAAACCCAACAAAUCUCGUAGUACUUUAAAUACGAUAUAAUAUUUAACAUAAUUGAAAAGGAAAACCAAUUACUCCAAAAAUUCUUACGUCGCUGCCGCGGCUCCUCCGGUUCUGCUGGAAGCUGAUCCUUUGUAUCCUGUUGAACCGGAAAUUGGCGUCUUUGCUCUCGAAGCCAUUUUGCUUCUAGAACCGGAAGUCUGACUUUGCAUGGGGCUACCACCAGAUGGUGGCCGUGUUGAUUGCAUGGAAGUAAUCUGUUUCUAAUUAAUAGAAACGUUAAACGAUAAUUAUUUUUACUUCAAUAGAAUAUUUUCAAUAGAAUAUUUCAAAAAAAUGUUGUAAUAGAAGAAGGUUAAUUUUUCAACAGAAAGUUUCAGUCAAAGAAUUAUCAAUGUAUAUUAGAAUAUAACAGGGACUCUAAUAAAAUAUUGUUCAUAUAUGUUGCUUAUCGUUAAAUGAUGGAUUAACAAUUUCUUACAUCGCAUGAGGACACUGCUCUUGCAAAAUAGUUUAUUUUUAUUAGCUGUUUAUGAUACUUUUGCCUUAAUAAAUAGCUGGUAAACUGGUGAUUUUUCACAUGUGUCACACUUCUAGCAAACGAACGAUAUGAGAGAAGAUAAAAUGAGAAUAACAGAGGAGAAAGUAAAAGUAAUAAAAGUAUUCAAUUAUUCAAUGAUAUGAAAUGCACGAAAUACCUGUUGAUACUACUGUUUAAUUUUGUUGUUAAAAUUUAGCAAGGCGACUAGAAAAUUUCGCUGUUGCGAAUAUUUCGAUUAAUCAGAAAUUGGAGGAAGAGGAAUCCAUGUGCAAUGAAAUCGCUGGAUUUCCCGGGUUAAAUAACGUCAAAGAGCAACAGACAUUUUACUCUCUAAAGCUUUCUACUUACUUCUCACAUACCAAACUUCAAGCUGUGGCAGAAAAAUUGCACACGAUAUUCGAUUGAAAUUAUCUUUGAGACCAAAAGCACAUCAUUCGAGGACCAAUUAUGUUUAUAAAUUAAUACAAUAAAUUUGUGAAGUUCCUUUCUUGUAUUAUAUGUCUAGCUAUGCGAGAAUUACAAUUAGGAUACUUUUAUUAAAUUCGAUUACAUUUUAUCACAUGCUUUUAUAAUAUAAAUUUUGUCUGCAUUUAGUAACAAAGA